CAACAGAGGGAGGCAAUACCGCGAGGUGGAGCAAACCCCUAAAAGCCAUCCCAGUUCGGACUGUAGGCUGCAACUCGCCUACACGAAGUCGGAAUCGCUAGUAAUCGCGGAUCAGCAUGCCGCGGUGAAUACGUUCCCGGGCCUUGUACACACCGCCCGUCACACCAUGGGAGUUUGUAACGCCCAAAGUCGGUGGCCUAACCUUUAUGGAGGGAGCCGCCUAAGGCGGGACAGAUGACUGGGGUGAAGUCGUAACAAGGUACC
rnacentral:rRNA from 1 species